rnacentral:rRNA from 1 species
AGAACGAACGCUGGCGGCAUGCCUAAUACAUGCAAGUCGAACGAACACUUCGGUGUUAGUGGCGCACGGGUGCGUAACGCGUGGGAAUCUGCCCUUGGGUUCGGAAUAACAGUUGGAAACGACUGCUAAUACCGGAUGAUGACGAAAGUCCAAAGAUUUAUCGCCCAGGGAUGAGCCCGCGUAGGAUUAGCUAGUUGGUGAGGUAAAGGCUCACCAAGGCGACGAUCCUUAGCUGGUCUGAGAGGAUGAUCAGCCACACUGGGACUGAGACACGGCCCAGACUCCUACGGGAGCAGCAGUAGGGAAUAUUGGACAAGUGGGCGAAAGCCUGAUCCAGCAAUGCCGCGUGAGUGAUGAAGCUUAGGUUGUAAAGCUCUUUACCGAGAUGAUAAUGACAGUAUCGGAGAAUAAGCCCGGCUAACGUCCGUGCCAGCAGCCGA